rnacentral:rRNA from 1 species
ACGAACGCUGGCGGCGUGCUUAACACAUGCAAGUCGAACGGAAAGGCCCUGCUUUUGUGGGGUGCUCGAGUGGCGAACGGGUGAGUAACACGUGAGUAACCUGCCCUUGACUUUGGGAUAACUUCAGGAAACUGGGGCUAAUACCGGAAAGGAGCUCCUGCUGCAUGGGGGGGGUUGGAAAGUUUCGGCGGUUGGGGAUGGACUCGCGGCUUAUCAGCUUGUUGGUGGGGUAGUGGCUUACCAAGGCUUUGACGGGUAGCCGGCCUGGGAGGGUGACCGGCCACAUUGGGACUGAGAUACGGCCCAGACUCCUACGGGAGGCAGCAGUGGGGAAUAUUGCACAAUGGGCGGAAGCCUGAUGCAGCAACGCCGCGUGCGGGAUGACGGCCUUCGGGUUGUAAACCGCUUUCGCCUGUGACGAAGCGUGAGUGACGGUAAUGGGUAAAGAAGCACCGGCUAACUACGUG